GACGAACGCUGGCGGCGUGCUUAACACAUGCAAGUCGAACGGAAAGGCCCUGCUUUUGUGGGGUGCUCGAGUGGCGAACGGGUGAGUAACACGUGAGUAACCUGCCCUUGACUUUGGGAUAACUUCAGGAAACUGGGGCUAAUACCGGAUAGGAGCUCCUGCUGCAUGGUGGGGGUUGGAAAGUUUCGGCGGUUGGGGAUGGACUCGCGGCUUAUCAGCUUGUUGGUGGGGUAGUGGCUUACCAAGGCUUUGACGGGUAGCCGGCCUGAGAGGGUGACCGGCCACAUUGGGACUGAGAUGCGGCCCAGACUCCUACGGGAGGCAGCAGUGGGGAAUAUUGCACAAUGGGCGGAAGCCUGAUGCAGCAACGCCGCGUGCGGGAUGACGGCCUUCGGGUUGUAAACCGCUUUCGCCUGUGACGAAGCGGGAGUGACGGUAAUGGGUAAAGAAGCACCGGCUAACUACGUG
rnacentral:rRNA from 1 species